rnacentral:lncRNA from 1 species
CUGUCCUGCCAAAUAUUCAUACUGAACCAUGCAUACCAAUCAGGAAUUAGUUGGUAUAUAAUUAUAUAUCACAUCAUAAGUGUAUUGCCCAAUCACCUGACCUUCCCCAUCCAAGCCCCCCUCUUUCACUUGGUGUCUCUCAAAACUCCCACAAUUUCUCUCCCAAAUCACUAUCUUCUUGCAAAUCAAGGUUCAAAGCCAAGAAUGCAUCAUCGUUUUUCUUUGAACCAAGGUAAAUCUGAAACUCAAAUUCCAAGUUAUAGGUCAGUUUUUGUUGAUUGAAACUUCAUUUUUACAUUUUUGUCAUCUGAUCAUGGUUUCAUGCUUAGACUAAAGCUUUAGUUCAACAUCUAUAUUUCCCUUUCCUAAUUUCUUGUUCAAAAGAGAUCAAAUCAAUGAAUAUCUAGUACAGAUCUAUUUCAUUCUAAGUCAGAUCCGCUCCAGUCCGACCAAGAUUCACUCAAACCAGCUGGGAUUCACUUAGAUUCAACUAGGAUUCUCUUGCAUACCCUUGAGACAAAUUUGCUCUGAACUAAAUCCACAUAAAUCCAGACUCAAUCCAUGUGCAUCAAAACUAGAUGCAUGCAGAUCCAACCAAGAUCCAUAUGGAUCUAGCCGAGAUUCAUGAGGAUCCAACUUAGAUUUGCAAAGGCCUAGAUUUUACAUAGAACUAGCCUAGGUUAGAUCUAAGUUAGAUGUAAGUUGUAUUUCAAAUAUCUAAGCAUAAAUUUUAAUAUUGUAAGCCUCAAUGAGCUUAAUAAUGAUUAUAGAAACUAAUAUUUUACUAGCAAAAUAGUGAUCCGAUAUGAUAGUAUGGCCGUCAAACGCCAUCUUUAGCAAUGGAUCUGCUCCAAAUACACUGGUCAAGUUGGAGGAAUAUAACCCGAAUGGAGAUGACCAGUGGAUACUUUAGACAUGGCCAAUGUGCAAGGAUACCCCAAAAGGGAUCCUUAAGGCUACAACAGGAAAACCAAAGGGAGAACCUCAAUAGGUUGGCAUUUGAGUUGCCCAUAUGUGAUGAAUUUGAUGAUCUCGUAGAUCAUAUUGAUGAGGACCCAAGAUUUGUGCAUCAUUGAAGAAUCAAACAUGGAUGAGGAGACCAUAUGACACUAGUAUGGAUAUGGUACUUCAUCCCAAUAUGAACAUGACAGGGCAGCGAAAUGGUGUUGGACCUUCUCAAGGAGUUGAUCUUCGAAUAUAAGGCAGCCCAAUGAUAGUAGUUCAAAGGGGCUAGGCAGGAAUGCCAGUAUAACAUAACCAAUAUUGCACAUCAGCUGAACCAGGCUACCUGUACAAGGAGGCCCUGAGAGGAAAUAUGGGAAUUCUUUAGUUCAUUUGGCAUGUCAGAUUUUGAUGUUACUGGUUCAGAUAUCAAGGCAUUCCCAGCUCAGAGUGCAUAAUAGACCAGGACCAAUGAUGCUAAUACUAGAAAGAAGAUACAUAGAAAAAGCAAUAGCAAAAUGAUUUAACUUAACCAUAUCCUUGAACAUAUAGCUUGAGGACCUUACUACGGAAAUAUGGGAUUUACUAUUGAGAAACAUAGUCCCAGUAUACAAGAUCCCAAUCUAUUGAAUUUGUCUACAAAUAACUUGAGGAGGAGGCUGAGAAAAUCCAAAAUUAGCUCAUCACUUAAAAGGUCAUGUGACCUAUAUGGUGUGAUCCUUAUGUUUGACAACUGAUUCGGCCCAACCAAAAUAUAAACUUUCUGAUCUGUUGCAAUGUAAAUAUCACCUUUCAUAAGUCAUCAAAUCACAUUCAGAUGCACAAAACUUUCAAGCUCUGAUAUAGAUUAUGGUAGAUGGGAUCGGAGAGCAAUUUAUGUGCAAGUAGUCACAAAUAAUAAUGCCAACUUCAAUAAGAUAAGUGAUCAGUUAACGGAUAUCAUAUGGCAUCUGUCGAUAAGAUUAGUGAUCAAUUAAGGGACAUCAAAUGACAUCUUCUUUGGAGACCAUAUGCGGCCCACUGUUAUACCUCAUAAUGAAGCACAUUGGUGAUAUAAUACUGGUGAAUACAACAGCAGAGACAAAGUAUUACUUGUUUUAUGUAUAAUCAUCAUCGAGUGAAUUCAUUACAAGAAGCUCUUACAGUUGAGUAGUACAUGACUAACAUCAAAUUUCAUAUCCUUAAAGUCCAUCUAACAGCAAAAGACCAAACUCAAGAGGAUGUUACCUCUUUUAUACUGCCUUGUUAGAUAAGAAAAUCAUGAGAAGAACAUAUUAUCCUCUAGAUUCUAAGAUACAAUGACUAUACCAUUGUAGUUUGUUAAGCUACUGUACAUCAUCCUACAUUGAGUAGGCCAUGUAUAUAUUACUAAGGAGAAUAUUAUGAAGGCAUAUGUUGUACAGAGAUUGUAUGAUUGCUAGGAUAUUGAAUACUCCAGAGAACUACAAAUGGCAUGUUGAAGAAUAUUUUAAAUUCAUUAUUUGUGAACUUUCUACAUUUGGAAUGAUCAAUAUAUUGGCAUCAUGAAUAAGAGUAACACUAUGUAUUAGUAUCAAUAAAUCUUAUCACCAAUAACAACUUCUUACUGGCUCUUCAUUAUGUCAUCACAACAUAAGAACUGGACAUCUCGAGUGUAAUCGAUGCAGUUAGUGAGGUACAAUAAUUAGUUGAUUAGACUGUUGUUCAUAAUAAGACAUGAACAAGUACUUAUAGUGGUCAGUCACUUUGGGACAUCUCUUUUGAAAGGUUUUUGGCACAUUCAGCAAAAACACAGUCAUUUCAUGUCAAUGUAAUCUAAAUCAUAGUAACAUAACACAAGUGGAAGCCAUCGAUAAACUACAAGUCAAUUUGCACAACAAGACAUCUUCUCCAUCAAAUAUACUAUCCAUUAGAUCUGUGGAGAUUACAGUGAGAUGGAUAUUUGCAUGUCUACCAAUGAUGAUGGCCAGAUCCAAAGGUCUUAUGUUCCUACAAUGCAAACAUAGAGCUGAAACAUAGACCGCUGAACACUAUUUUAACACGUUGCAACCAAGAUGAUGAUCACAACAUCUGUAAAUUCACCCUAUUGGUUUUCAACAAGACUCGAUGGGUUCUUCAACUGAAUCUCAUGGGCAGCAUUAUCAUGGUGAUAGUUGACUACUCAAAAUAUGACACUUUAAUUAAUGAUAAACUCACAAUUUAUAUUGUGCUACAACUGCUGCCACUGUACUUGUACAGGUCAUACUUAACUGAGCAACCUACUACCACACAAGUAAUUAAUGAUGAUAACUCCAUUAUUGCUACUACUUUGUUUUGUCAACAAAACAUAAUAAACCGAUAUCAAAUACUGUGGGAGUAGUUCCAUGGAUGACUUACUUAUAAUUAAAAUCUUGAUAUACAACCGAUGUUGAGGACUCUAAACCACUUUGCAUAGGCCGCAACCAUUUUGGUCGUGGUGAGCCAAUUAUAAAGUAUGACAUUUGAUUCUCACUUAUGUGAUUUUAAUACAUAUAUCGUGUCAUACUUAUAACUGUUACAUACAUCUAUAUUUUUUUCCUUCAUUUAUGGUUUAGAAUACAUGUUAAAAACAUGUUUUAUUUUGUUAUUUAGUAUAUAUUCAGCCAAAGUUUUAAAUUAUUAUUAAUUAUUUAGUCA